ensembl:lncRNA
UGAGCCCCGGAAUUCUGGGAAUUCACCCUAUUCCCAAACAUGUUUCUCAUUAUUAAAAUUACGUAACCCUCAUUUUCACAUCAUGUGCUAGAUCUCUGACAUAAGGAAUCAGAACUGCAAUUACAUCACACAUUGCAAGGACAAAUUAAAGAUUAUAAACACACCAUACAUUUUUUAUCAUGCUGCGUUUGGAUCUUAUUUAAUUAUAACCGCAUUGGUCUUUGUUUGUUUGUUUUUUUCUAUGUUGGCAGUCAGGGAUAAAUAUCCUUGACCUCCUGCUCGGAUACCCAUUGUGCUGUAUCCGCACUCAGCCAGUACAGUGCUUUCCCAAAGUGGACCUGCAGGGAGUGCUGGGGACCUUCAUAUCAGAUCUGCAGGCCGGACUGGAGAUUGCUACUACAGCAAUGAACUGAGAAGACCAGACACUCAGGGAUUUGUGCCGCUGCCUGCAAACGUGACAACAGAAAACAGCAGCACAGCUGUUCUGAACCUGCUUCCCAGCAGCUGCCCACGCGACGCAGUGCAACACCGCUCCAGUCAGUGUGACUCAACUGGAAAACAGACUGAAAAGAAAAAGAGAUCCAGUUUGGAUUUGUCUCUUGACCACAAAGGCUGGACGUCCUCCAACUUGGCAACUCAGCCCUCUUCCUCUCCCACUAAUGUUCAUUUUACUCACAUCCAGUCACAGUCUGCUCUUCCGAGACCAAAGCUUGUGCCAGUCUUCAGAAAUCACACACCCGCCAUGUGAACGUGACUGAGAUGCUUGCAGGGAAACAGCAGCAGGGGCCGGAAGGGCAGAAGCUGACAGCAGUUAUAAGGCCUCUGUCAUCGUCUUAUAAACCCAAUGCUCCACACCACCAUCCUCUUCUAACCAGUUCUCAAGCCAUGCAAACAAGCAGCAAUCUGUCCUGUACCAAAAACCUGUUGGAUUUCUGAGAGCCCUAUGAAAUCCAUUUUAUUUUUUCCCCAAUUUCAUUUUAUUUAUUUAUUUAUUUAUUUAUUUAUUUAUUUAUUCUUAAAUUGUAUAAAUGCAAGUAAAGAAGGCUCCCUUUAAAAUCACUGAAACAGCUUAUUAAAAGUUUAACAAAAAUUACAUUUUUAGGGCCCAAUAAAACAUGUUUUAUCUUUUCUCA